rnacentral:rRNA from 1 species
UACGAAGGGUGCAAGCGUUGCUCGGAAUUAUUGGGCGUAAAGGGUAGGUAGGUGGUCUCAUUUGUCUGGGGUGAAAGCCUUGAGCUUAACUCAAGAAGUGCCCCAGAAACGGUGAGACUAGAGUCCUGGAGAGGGUCGUGGAAUUCCCGGUGUAGCGGUGAAAUGCGUAGAGAUCGGGAGGAACACCAGAGGCGAAGGCGGCGACCUGGACAGGUACUGACACUCAACUACGAAAGCGUGGGGAGCAAACAGG